UACGUAGGGUGCGGGCGUAAUCGGAAUUACUGGGCGUAAAGCGUGCGCAGGCGGCCUCUUAAGUCAGAUGUGAAAUCCCCGGGCUUAACCUGGGAACUGCGUUUGAAACUGGGAGGCUAGAGUGUGGAAGAGGGGGGGUGGAAUUCCCGGUGUAGCGGUGAAAUGCGUAGAUAUCAGUCGGAACACCGGUAGCGAAGGCGGCUUCUUGGGCCGUUCCUGACGCUGAGGCGCGAAAAGCUGGGGGGAGCGAACGGGGAUUAAAAA
rnacentral:rRNA from 1 species